GACAGAGGAUGCAAGCGUUAUCCGGAAUGAUUGGGCGUAAAGCGUCUGUAGGUGGUUUAUUAAGUCUACUGUUAAAGAUCAGGGCUUAACCCUGAGCAGGCAAUAGAAACUAAUAAGCUAGAGUACGGUAGGGGCAGAGGGAAUUCCCGGUGCAGCGGUGAAAUGCGUAGAGAUCGGGAAGAACACCAACGGCGAAAGCACUCUGCUGGGCCGAAACUGACACUGAGAGACGAAAGCUAGGGGAGCAAAUGGG
rnacentral:rRNA from 1 species